UCUCUCUCUCUUCAAGGCACAGUUUGAUCUGCCUCCUUUUUCUCUCUCUCUCUCUCUCUAUUCUCUCCUUAGUGAUUACUGCUUUAUGUCAAGAUCUAAUUAAUCUCUUUUUUCUUUCUUUUCUUCUUCCUCGGAUGCAAUACGGUGAUUGGCGCAGAUUACAGUUCUUGACGAAGGAGGCAGUCGGCUUGAAGCAACAAUUGUAUAAUUUGCAAGAAAAAUCAAUGGUUUUGGCCUUCCAGUGCUAUUUAACAAGACUCUUAGCUUAAUGAGGGAAAAAGAACGGUACCAAUGAUUUUCUUGUAGAUUAUGCAAUUGUUGCCUCAAGCUUGCUGCCUCCCUCUGCCAGAACUAGUGAGUAAAUAGCACAUGCUUUAAUGAAAGUAAUAUCCAAAGUAAAAAUGUUUUUUGUUUUGAGAUGAGUUAUACAGUACUAUAGAGCACUCAAUGAGACCCUUGAGUACUCUUGAAGCGUAGUUGGAUGAAUUUUUACGCGAAAACAUCAAGCAGCUGAUUUCUAAUGGCUGCUGACUUGCCAUAUUAUUCGUAGAGGACCAAUGAAGAAUAGUCCCAGACUAUUUCAUUAGAAAGAGUUCAAUAGAUCAUUAUCUAAAACAGAGGACGGAAUCGUAAUCUCCCACAUACUCUGAUCUCUAACAGGUAAGGGACAGUUAAUACAAUUGAUCUCUCAUGCAACAUGUUCCACGUUGUGCCUGAGUCUAGCUACAUGUACGUCAAAGUCCACAUCCUUAUCUUCGCAGAUUGAUUUGACACGUGUGUACUAUUUGUGUAUUUAAACAUUUAUUCAUUCAUCCUAGUUAAGAAAAUGAGGUAAUUUCAUAAGGAAUUUAUUUAUCUGAAGUUGAAAACUUAUGAAAAUAACAUUUUCUUGACCUCAAAUAACAAUCAACAUGAGCUAAUUAUUUUUUGACGUUAGUUAUAUGGUAAAGAGCAUAUCGUUGCCAUUGCAUUUUUAAGAAUCAGCAUGUACUAUUUUUGCAUUAGUUAUAUGGAUUACAUUUAGUUAUAUGGUAAAGAGCACUUGGUUGGCCCAUUGCGUGUUUAGGAAUCAGCAUGCACUAUUUUUAUGUUAGUUACAUGGUAACGAGCAUGAGGUCUUGAGGGAAGUUUCUGAGAAAUGAUAACUAAUUCUUUCUAAAAACUAUCGUGUAAUUCGUUUAUUCUAAUUAACUAAUACCAUGAAUUUUCUGGUUUAAACUACCAUUAUGACUUUGUUCGGUUAAGCAGUCAUCUGACUUGCACGUGAUAUCUUCUUGACAAAACUGUGCCCAAUGCUUGAUGAUCUUUGGGUAAGAUAUAGUUAACUUCCUUACUCUUUAUAUUUUUAUUUAGUAUUAUGGAGAUAGCCUUCAAUAUCUUAGUCUUAAGCUUUUUUAUCACAUUGUAAUAUUACAGUUUUAUAUAGUAUUAUGGACAUAGCCUUCAAUAUCUUAGUCUUAGGCUUUUUUAUCACAUUGUAAUAUUACAUCAUGAAAACAAAUAAAAGUACGACACUGCUUAUUUAAGACUAUAAUAUAUUGAUCUUUAACUGUGGAUCAUAUAGUGAGCUCCAUCUAAAAACUAAUUUGUGGCAUUUUAAACUUAUUGUCUUACUGGUUAGAAGGGAAUUACUCUUGGAGAUAGUUCAGCAUCUCAUAUGAUUAGUUUAGAAUUAUUGUUUUCUAAUGAAAUUUCAGUUUUAGCAUUCCCUGUCUGGUUGCAUGCACAGGUCCAUUGCAGGUUUUUCAGCUGAAAUCUCGAACUGGUCAAAAUGCUGUGUACAGGUAGAAAUAACUAACAGAUACUUAUCAAUAGGCAUGAUGUAGCACUGAGCUUCAGAUUCCUUUUAAUUUAAUCAUUUCUCACUGUUUACUAGUGAUCUGUGUGCUUACAAGUUUAUUGGCUAAUAUGAUAUGAUUAAUCUAGAAUAGUGGUGCCACAAAUAUCUAAAUGCAUCAUUAGUGAGCUUCCAUUUACAUCCAUACUUUUUGGCUAGAAAUGCUUUGCAUGCUGUUUAACUAACAGGUUACAUAUACAUUGUAUUCUUCUCUUUUUUCUUUUCUUAUUUUUUUUCUUCCAGAAAGGUUCUCUACAAUAUUUACAUCAACCAGACAAAACAAACAACCUGCUACUUCAACGAAUUUCCAAUAAAGUAAUAUCUGUUAAUAUUAUUAUAUGGAGAAACACUUCUAUACUUCUACUUUAUUAAUUUUUUUUUCUUUCGUCGGUAUUUGUUCUAGUUCUUCGUCCUAAUUUCUCUGACAUUAAGUUUCUUCAUGACUUUUUCCAAAUAUCUCUUAGUGAAGGGUUCUAAUUUCAAAUUUUCCAUGUAAAUUUUCGUUAUUGCCAAUAAAGGUUAACUCUAAAAUUGCUCUUCUACCUUUUGCUGGUUCAACUCUAAUGGAAGUUCAUUUCAUAUCCUGAAAAUGCCCUUUUUGGCCUAGUUUCAGAUGGAAUGAAAUCAGUCCAUGAAUCAAUAUAAAUUUGGUUCUGUCUUACCCAAGUUCCUUCACCUUUCAAUAGAUCACAUUCAAUUAUUUGCAAAUAGAGCUUACGAACUAUAAAAGUAGUCUUUUAUUUCUUCCGUUGUCCUAUAUGUUUUUAGCGUUGGAGAGUUUUAUGACAAGAUGGUCUACCUUUGUGCAAAUGAUCUAACACAAGAAACGUGUGAUUGAGUAAUCCUUUAUUCAACAAUUAGCACUAAAUAUAUCCACUUGAGUAGUUGGUUAAGCUUUUGUGCAAGUAUUGUGACAAAUAACUUGGUGUGGUUGAGUAAUGCUAUAUUCAACAAUUAGCACAAAGGUGUGGUUAAGCUUUUGUCAGUGUGUGAUAUACACACUUAGCUUUACACCGAAUUCUUUCACUCCUGAAGUUGGUGAACAAUUAGUAGUAACUAUACCCACUUCAUGGAGAUAAAUAUCAAUUGUGAGCAACUUCACUUAUGAAAUUUGAAUUGAACUAUAGUUAUAUUCAAGAAAUAUGAGAAAUUGGAAUAAUUUCAGAGAUUGAACUAGUAGUUGUGUUAUAUCUAUCUUCGAAGUAUUUACUAUGAUCAAUCUAAUUACACCCUUUUACAUGUGCAGUACAAAAUACAAUAAAUUGUAAACUAAUCCAGUUUAAUUCAAAAGGAUCCACUUCCAGGAAAGGUAAUUUUCCAGUCAUAAAACAGAAAGAAAUAUUACUAAAUGUUCUAAUAUUAUAAUGUUUUUCAAUGUAAUAGUAUCUACAAGGAACAUAACUAACUACAUAAGUUUAUUACCAUAUAAAAAUAGAGAAAUUAAUUUCACACCAAUGACAAAUUAUGCUGUGAAGAUUCAACAACCUAUGAUAAAUCCAUUGCAAAGUAAUAGUGGAUUCCAACUCUUCAUGCGCCAUUCCAUGAUUGCUAAGAACUUUUUUUUUCGUCCUUUGCAGGCUAGUGGGAGUCAAUCAAUAGACUGUACAAGUUCAUCUUAAGGAUCUGUUUAUACAAUUACCGAUACAAUGAUUCUAAGGACAGCAAAGAUUCAAUCUACUGAUUUAUAGUCGAAAAUAGCAGUCUCUUCUUAAUUUCUUCCACUUAUAACUUCCACUUUCGUAUUUCUCCGUACUUUCUACAGCCUGUUCAAAUAUGAAAUUAUACAUUGUAUAAUACUUGCACCAAGGUCAGCCUUCAGUGGCGUUGCAAGUGCGGAUGAUAUGAUCAUUGUAAUUUAGCCUCUCACUAACUGUUGAAAGUCUGUCUUAGUAUAGAUGUACAUGUACCUUUUCAACAGAUAGAGAUUAUUAAGUUCUACUGUGGUUAUUUUGUAUAA